rnacentral:miRNA from 1 species
UGCCAGUGGCCUGCGGGGGACGG